UAUUAACAUACACAAAAUCUGCUAGAAACAGAAGCUAAAUCCCUUUCAAAUGACGCAAGAAGGAAAGGGUGCAUAUAUCCUUGAAUGUACAUUGACAGGGGGAAAUGUUAAUAGAAAUAAAACGAUAGGUCACAGCUGGAACACUUGACUAGAAGUCUGUUUAGUAUGAGUUGAUCUGAUAAUCGUUAUCAAAGAGAACAAAAAGUAAAAACAAUUUGCCCUUUAUAUUAUCUUCGAUACCGAGAGGCUUUAGGAAACAGAACCAUACUUGCAGGGAAAGACUUCUAUACCGCAUCAAUUUCAGUUCCUAUAACAGGGAGAGCUACUAUAACAUUACAAUAUAUCCGUAUAUCAUCUGUCACCAGAAGAAAUAUCCGAAAACAAUUACUUGCUAAAAAAUGUCUCUGGUCUCAGCGUCGAAAGCUCUGGACAUCGCUUUGGAAAAAGACGAAAUAGAAGAAUUCUCAAUAUCGCUUUCUAAGAAAAGGCACGUCAGAGGAGAUUUUUCUUCAGCAUUCGUGUCUGGAAAUGGAGAGUAUACAACGAAAGAGAAAAUAACUUUCACCGUUAAAAAGAGAGGCUCUAAAUCAAACUAAUAAGACCUGUGAUCAUUUCUUCAUAUUAUAUUGGAAGAGUUUUCCAAGAGUUGCUUGAGAUGCCGCGGGUCUCUUUUUCUCAAACUUGCUACCAAAAUUUUUAACCGUGUUAAGUCUGAUGAUUUCAAGGCUGAUGGUUAAAGCAUAUUUGUAAUGAAUAGGAAAAAUAUUAAAUAAACACAUUCUAUGUAUCUUUAUAUAUA